ACAGUUCAGCGGUGCCUCAAUCUCCCCCAUUUUGCACCAUAUUUCUGUCUCAGGGGUCAGAUCCCAGCCAGCCUAGCUUUCAGGACAAUGAGUCUUCUCAGCACCGGAGAUGACAGGUCCCGGACACAAUUCUGCCUAAAGGGACCCCUGGGAGAACCAGGAGACAGAAAAAUAAGCCAGUGUGCUCUCGGUACAAGAGUCAACUGAUACCAGGACCCGCCUGUCGGUCUCCACACCAGCCGCUGAGCUGUGAGGACAGGAUAAAUUCAUUUGCAAAGGACAAGCAUAAAACCUCCGGUGAAAUGCAACGUACCACAUCCAGGUCCCCAGCCCAUGGUAUGAUGCUGUCUGCAUUCAAGAUGGGUCUUUCUUCUUCUCUGGAAAUGCCUCACAGGCAUGUUUCCAUCGUCAACCUAAAUUCAGUCCAGUUGACAAUGAAGACUAAC